CCUACGGGAGGCAGCAGUGAGGAAUAUUGGUCAAUGGACGAGAGUCUGAACCAGCCAAGUAGCGUGAAGGAUGACUGUCCUAUGGUUUGUAAACUUCUUUUAUAUGGGAAUAAAAUGUUCCACGUGUGGGAUUUUGUAUGUACCAUAUGAAUAAGGAUCGGCUAACUCCGUGCCAGCAGCCGCGGUAAUACGGAGGAUACGAGCGUUAUCCGGAUUUAUUGGGUUUAAAGGGUGCGUAGGUGGAUUGUUAAGUCAGUUGUGAAAGUUUGGGGCUCAACCCUAAAAUUGCAGUUGAAACUGGCAGUCUUGAGUACGAUAGAGGUAGGCGGAAUUCGUGGUGUAGCGGUGAAAUGCUUAGAUAUCACGAAGAACUCCGAUUGCGAAGGCAGCUCACUGGCCUGCAACUGACACUGAGGCACGAAAGCGUGGGUAGCAAACAGGAUUAGAUACCCUUGUAGUC
rnacentral:rRNA from 1 species